rnacentral:rRNA from 1 species
UCCAGCAAUGCCGCGUGUGUGAAGAAGGCCUCUCGGGUUGUAAAGCACUUUUGUCCGGAAAGAAAUCCUUGGCUCUAAUACAGUCGGGGGAUGACGGUACCGGAAGAAUAAGCACCGGCUAACUACGUGCCAGCAGCCGCGGUAAUACGUAGGGUGCGAGCGUUAAUCGGAAUUACUGGGCGUAAAGCGUGCGCAGGCGGUUUGCUAAGACCGAUGUGAAAUCCCCGGGCUCAACCUGGGAACUGCAUUGGUGACUGGCAGGCUAGAGUAUGGCAGAGGGGGGUAGAAUUCCACGUGUAGCAGUGAAAUCCGUAGAGAUGUGGAGGAAUACCGAUGGCGAAGGCAGCCCCCUGGGCCAAUACUGACGCUCAUGCACGAAAGCGUGGGGAGCAAACAGGAUUAGAUACCCUGGUAGUCCACGCCCUAAACGAUGUCAACUAGUUGUUGGGGAUUCAUUUCCUUAGUAACGUAGCUAACGCGUGAAGUUGACCGCCUGGGGAGUACGGUCGCAAGAUUAAAACUCAAAGGAAUUGACGGGGACCCGCACAAGCGGUGGAUGAUGUGGAUUAAUUCGAUGCAACGCGAAAAACCUUACCUACCCUUGACAUGGUCGGAAUCCUGCUGAG